AGGCCUAACACAUGCAAGUCGAGCGCGCCCUUCGGGGUGAGCGGCGGACGGGUUAGUAACGCGUGGGAAUAUACCCUUUGGUACGGAAUAGCCCCUGGAAACGGAAAGUAAUACCGUAUGAGCCCUUCGGGGGAAAGAUUUAUCGCCAAAGGAUUAGCCCGCGUUAGAUUAGGUAGUUGGUGGGGUAAUGGCCUACCAAGCCUACGAUCUAUAGCUGGUUUUAGAGGAUGAUCAGCAACACUGGGACUGAGACACGGCCCAGACUCCUACGGGAGGCAGCAGUGGGGAAUCUUGAACAAUGGGGGCAACCCUGAUCCAGCCAUGCCGCGUGAGUGAUGAAGGCCUUAGGGUCGUAAAGCUCUUUCGCCUGUGAAGAUAAUGACGGUAGCAGGUAAAGAAACCCCGGCUAACUCCGUGCCAGCAGCCGCGGUAGUACGGAGGGGGUUAGCGUUGUUCGGAAUUACUGGGCGUAAAGCGCACGUAGGCGGAUCGGAAAGUUGGGGGUGAAAUCCCGGGGCUCAACCCCGGAACUGCCUCCAAAACUAUCGGUCUAGAGUUCGAGAGAGGUGAGUGGAAUUCCGAGUGUAGAGGUGAGAUUCGUAGAUAUUCAGAGGAACACCAGUGGCGAAGGCGGCUCACUGGCUCGAUACUGACGCUGAGGUGCGAAAGUGUGGGGAGCAGACAGGAUUAGAUACCCUGAUAGUCCACAC
rnacentral:rRNA from 1 species